UGGGGAAUUUUGGACAAUGGGGGCAACCCUGAUCCAGCCAUGCCGCGUGAGUGAAGAAGGCCUUCGGGUUGUAAAGCUCUUUCGGCGGGGAAGAAAUGGCAACGGCUAAUAUCCGUUGUUGAUGACGGUACCCGCAUAAGAAGCACCGGCUAACUACGUGCCAGCAGCCGCGGUAAUACGUAGGGUGCGAGCGUUAAUCGGAAUUACUGGGCGUAAAGCGUGCGCAGGCGGUUUCGUAAGACAGACGUGAAAUCCCCGGGCUCAACCUGGGAACUGCGUUUGUGACUGCGAGGCUAGAGUACGGCAGAGGGGGGCAGAAUCCCACGUGUAGCAGUGAAAUGCGUAGAGAUGUGGAGGAAUACCGAUGGCGAAGGCAGCCCCCUGGGUUAGUACUGACGCUCAUGCACGAAAGCGUGGGGAGCAAACA
rnacentral:rRNA from 1 species